CAGAAUCGAGAUGGGGUUGGUCUGAACAGGUAGCUUGUCGGUGUGCCAAUUGCAAUAGAUGGCAACUUGUAAGUAUUAAUCUCAAAAAAAUUGUAAAAAAUCUACCUUGAAAAACAAUUGGCAACCUUUGUAGAAGAUGGGUUUUUUUUUGUUUAAAAAGAACUUAAAAUUGAAGUAUAAAAUAGGUUUAAACAAUUAUUUUUGCAUCUGGAUGAGAAAAAUUGGUGGGUGGGAGUUGUUUGCAAGGAUUUUUAGAAAAAAAAGUGAAAGGAAAGAAGAGAAGAAGGGGAAGGAAAUCUCGUCGUCGCCAUAGCCGUCAUAUUAGUAGAAUAGGAAAGAAGAGGACAAGGGAAUCUCCACGCAACUUUGGUGUCGUCGUUGGUCGGAUAACUAACUGGAGGAGGCCAGAUGGUGGCCUAGCAGUGGUGUAGAAGCAGCUAGGGUAGGAGAAAGAAAAAGAAGAAGAGAAAAAGGAGAGGAAAAGAGGGAAAAUAAAAAAGAGGUACAAGUAGCCAUGGGGCACCGCACGAUUGGCCAAUGCUGCCACAUCAACAAAAAAUUAAUAAUGUUAGGCUGAGAUACCAAUAUAGUUAAGGAAAACAAAGUUCAGGUAUCAAUGUGGGACAAAAGAAA
rnacentral:lncRNA from 1 species